UAACAAUUUUAAUUCCAGGGCCGUCCCCAUACCCCGUCCGGUAUGAGUGCCAAAAUAAUAAACCUCAAUACCUCGUCUGAUAUGAGGGUGAAGCAGGCCGUCCCCAUACCCUGUCUGGUAUGAGCACCAAAUGACCAAGUCUCCAUACCCCGUCCGGUAUGAGAUAACGUUCACGGUAUGGUUCCCUACGAACCCGGUCCGUCCACCAUUUCUCAGGAUAUCUAGU
rnacentral:lncRNA from 1 species